AGCCCAGCGCGCAGCGCACGGGCCGGGGCCGCCCCGAAAAGCCCCCACGCGCGGAGGGGCGCGGAGGCGCUGCGCGGCCCCGAGCGCGCCGUGGCGGCGGCUGCUGCCCGCCCGCCCGCACCGCUCCGCACCGCAAAGGCGAGAAAGUCUGCGCGCCGGCCUGGAACCACUUUGCAUAAUUGUCGGGAGUUUGAAUUACUGAUUACAACGUGUAAGCUACCGCUGCUGAAGGAUCAGGGAAGGAAGAAAAAAAACCCUCAAGCCGACUAAAUGAAGGAUCUAAAAAUAAAACGAGGAGGACGGCGGUGCUGGAACUAACCGUUGGAGGUGUUAUCUGCCUUAUCUAACAUGCAGGCGCUGAUUUGCAGCACUUGCAUUAAGCCCAUCAUCAGCAGGGACUCCGCAUUAUCAUUUUUGGUGGAGUCUCUAUUUUUUUUAAACGACGGUGUUUUUCUUCCAGGGAUGUUUCUUUGAAAUGCAGUUCGCGACGAUUAUUAGCAAGUGUGCUCGCGCUGCUCCUGGCGUCAUUAAGACUAGGAAUCUAAAUAAUAAAAGACGGGGUGAGCUUAAAGUUCAUUUGUAUUAAAGGGACAAGAUGGAUUUAAAAAGAAACGAGAAAAGGAACCGUCGAGCUUCUCAGGUUUGGAAUCAGUUCAUCUUCUUUCCAAAGAGACUCUGCGUUGUAGCAAGUGUAGUCAUUUUUAUCAUAAACUCAGAAGCCUGAUUUUCUUUUUGCUCAGAAAUGUCACACUGAAGAGCGACCCUGAUUUUCUCAUUCUUUAGAAUUUUUCAAGGUCUCGACACCUUCAAUUUGUUUAUUUUGGUGGCCAAAAGCAGAAAGUUGAAUUCAAUUCCCUUCUAUUUGUUUGAUAAAUUAAAAGAAAAAAGAGUGGAAGAUGA